AUUGAACGCUGGCGGCAGGCCUAACACAUGCAAGUCGAGCGAGCGGCGGACGGGUGAGUAAUGUCUGGGAAACUGCCUGAUGGAGGGGGAUAACUACUGGAACCGGUAGUUAAUCCCGCAUACCAUCAGAUCUGCCCAGAUGGGAUUAGCUAGUAGGUGGGGUAACGGCCCACCUAGGCGUCGAUCCCUAGCUGGUCUGAGAGGUUGACCAGCAACACUGGAACUGAGACACGGUCCAGACUCCUACGGGAGGCAGCAGUGGGGAAUAGGGCACAAUGGGCGCAAGCCUGAUACAGCCAUGCCGCGUGGGUGAAGAAGGCCGUCGGAUUGUAAAGCACUUUCAGCGAGGAGGCGUUACCCACAGAAGAAGCACCGGCUAACUCCGUGCCAGCAGCCGCGGUAAUUC
rnacentral:rRNA from 1 species